ACUGGAAUUCCUGGUGUAGCGGUGAAAUGCGCAGAUAUCAGGAGGAACACCGAUGGCGAAGGCAGGUCUCUGGGCUGUAACUGACGCUGAGGAGCGAAAGCAUGGGGAGCGAACAGGAUUAGAUACCCUGGUAGUCCAUGCCGUAAACGUUGGGCACUAGGUGUGGGGGACAUUCCACGUUUUCCGCGCCGUAGCUAACGCAUUAAGUGCCCCGCCUGGGGAGUACGGCCGCAAGGCUAAAACUCAAAGGAAUUGACGGGGGCCCGCACAAGCGGCGGAGCAUGCGGAUUAAUUCGAUGCAACGCGAAGAACCUUACCAAGGCUUGACAUGAACCGGAAUGAUGCAGAGAUGUGUCAGCCACUUGUGGCCGGUUUACAGGUGGUGCAUGGUUGUCGUCAGCUCGUGUCGUGAGAUGUUGGGUUAAGUCCCGCAACGAGCGCAACCCUCGUUCCAUGUUGCCAGCGGGUUAUGCCGGGGACUCAUGGGAGACUGCCGGGGUCAACUCGGAGGAAGGUGGGGACGACGUCAAAUCAUCAUGCCCCUUAUGUCUUGGGCUUCACGCAUGCUACAAUGGCCGGUACAAAGGGUUGCGAUACUGUGAGGUGGAGCUAAUCCCAAAAAGCCGGUCUCAGUUCGGAUUGAGGUCUGCAACUCGACCUCAUGAAGUUGGAGUCGCUAGUAAUCGCAGAUCAGCAACGCUGCGGUGAAUACGUUCCCGGGCCUUGUACACACCGCCCGUCAAGUCACGAAAGUUGGUAACACCCGAAGCCGGUGGCCUAACCCCUUGUGGGAGGGAGCC
rnacentral:rRNA from 1 species